CCCCUAGAUGUUCUGGGCCGCACGCGCGCUACACUGAACAGUUCAACAAGUCUUAACCUUGGCCGAUAGGUCUGGGUAAUCUUUGAACGCUGUUCGUGAUUGGGAUAGACCUUUGCAAUUAUGGGUCUUCAACGAGGAAUUCCUAGUAAACGCAAGUCAUCAGCUUGCAUUGAUUACGUCCCUGCCCUUUGUACACACCGCCCGUCGCACCUACCGAUUGGAUGGUCCGAUGAGGCCUCCGGACUCGGACCUGCUCUCCGUCAGGGGACUGGACCGGGGAAGUUGGUCAAAUCUUACCAUCUAGAGGAAGGUGAAGUCGUAACA
rnacentral:rRNA from 1 species